rnacentral:lncRNA from 1 species
GUCAUCCUUUUUCACUUUGAUCAACCAGUCAACAAGUUAAAAUCUUUUGGUGUUUGCAUAUGAAGAAACGAAAAAAGAUUGAGACCUUUUUGGGUGUUAUGAUUCAGUCUGAAAAUUCACUUUGGUUUUUGGAGAUGUUAAGGAAGAAAAAGAGAGUCGAGGAGGAGAAGAGGUUUUGUGUCGAUAGUUUCGGGCCGGC